rnacentral:rRNA from 1 species
UGCGGAAGGAUCAUUGUUG